rnacentral:rRNA from 1 species
GUCUGUUCGUCGAGGUGAGGUGAGUCAGAGAGACAGACUCAGUCAGGAUGAAAGGAGAAAGAGGGUGGUGGUAAUAGGAGGAGGAGGAGGGUUUCGUUAGUGCUAGUGUUAGCCUUCGUCAAGGCUGGCGGGCUGGCUGGCUAGCUAGGUCGUCGCUCAAGGUCAAACAGGUGCCGGCCGCCCGUACCCCAGUGCCUCCCCUUCCGGCGUCGUCGUCAUAGGAGGAGGAGGAGGACGGCGGCGGCGGCUCCCGGGCGGCGCGCCUCCGGGUCGGUCCCCUCCGCCGGCGCCGGGUAAGGGAGUCGUCGUCCACGGCGUUCCCCCUCCUGCGCCGUUGGUCCCUAAGUGGCCGCGGGGGGACGUCGGCGGCGUCGGUUCCCUGCUACGCCGGCGUCCGUCCCCGUCCCCGGCACGACGUGCACCGUGGCCGUGCGCCGUGGGGCCGCUGCCGUCCCCGCGCCGCGCGCCCCGGCCGUGGAGGAGGGGACGGGGACAUCGGCGUCCCGGCAACCCGGCGGACGGAGGGCUGGACGCGGUUCGUUACCUUCUUGGAAGUCUCGGGGUCCUUCGCUAGGGCCGCAGCUCGUUCCGCUAAGCCAAGGGCGGCGCCGGCCCGUUCCCGUCGCGGCCGUCGUCCACGGACCACUUCCGGUUGGUAAAGUAGCGGGUCGAGGGUCUGUUCCUGGAGGUGGUGAUGGUACAAAGCUAGUGAGGCCUCCAGUGGAGCGCCCAGCAGUUGGCGCGGCACUAGUUGCUCGACCACUCGGACGUGUCCCGCUGGAUGGAGCCGCCCUCCGACGGCCGCAUGCUGCCGUCCUUCUCGGAGAUGUGCCGGCCGGGCAACGGCAAGCGAAGGUUCCUCAAAGUCUAGUGAGACGAACUGCUGCUGUUACCGAGGCCGAGACGGAGGGUCUCCGCCGUCUCCUUAAAGUUCCACCACUAAUUCAAGCGGCGCGCGCGGCUGGAGGUAGCGGAGCCCUACAAAGACCGGCCCUCCGUGCGCCUCCGAGGAGUCCUCCGCAACGUCCAGGAACUGUAACACGACGCGCUCGACGGGAGACGUUCUAUACGCGGUAAACCUGCCAGCAAGAAGAGCGGACUGGACCCGUCCUCCGUCGGGGAGCCGCUGCCUAAUCUCUCGACCGCGCCCAAAAUGGUCUCGUAGGCCGGAUGAGUCUACCCGGAGAGUGAGUUAUAACUAUACAGUCGAUGUCGAAAGUAACUCGGUGACGGACACUAUCUAAUACGGCGCGUCGAGGACGCAAGACUGUAGGUAAGCUCCGGGGAGAGUCUGCGGCUUGCACAAUUCUAGUUCUUCCGUGAUUCUCCUCAUUUCCACCUUCAAUGAGUAGCACCGUUGUACGCUUCUUUCAUGGCCUAUAGACCAGACUGUUGAGUCCGUUGAGCUCUCGAGUGAAAAGGACAACUGCUUCCCCCGUGUCAUUUCAGUCAGCAUGUUAUGAAAGUCCUCUGUAUGCCGAAACGGUAGGUCGUGUGCAUGGACGGAACGGAGGUUCAACCGUUAGUCGUCGCAGGUUUAAUGAACGGAUACCUCCAGACGUUUUAUCACCUCCCUGUCUCCAUGAGGUUCUCUGAUUUAGUCUUAGUCUAUUCUCGUGAGAACCUACUCUGUACAGUCAUGGGCGCACUAGCCCUCGCACUAUAUUGGGUCUACCACUUUGUGUUACGAAUAGUCCUCCUAGGAAUACGCUUUCUCAAGCCGUAAUUCUAAUCGCUAGCAGACCGUAGUCAUCUACGUGCCUAAAAUGGUCGGGGUGCCGAAUUCAUGUUGCUCUGACCAUCUCUUUUCCUAACAUGUGGAUCUCAACCAGUUACCUUAUACUACUUGUUCUUUUACCAUUUACCACCGUUUCACUCUUCGACCUACACGCAGUUAAAACGGGCAUUGCACGGUCUGUUUGAACGAGCACUAAAGACGGUGGUUGAACGAGUCUACACGGUUCUGAGCCCUUACCUGAAGCGAGACCUCGGACAAGAAGGUGGGUACUCACGUGCGGGCCUAGUUCACCUCGCUCGAGAGUUUCGAGCCAUGGUACUCCGUUACUUGUAAGAACCCGGGGUCGCGGCCCUCGAGCUAGACGAAUAACCUUAGGAAGGACUAUUGUUGCCGAGCGAAAUACCACUAGACUUCGCGCACACGCUUUAUCUAGAGCCUUAUCAAAGCGUCACGACAACAUGCUUCGUCCACAAGUUUAACUUGUUCGUUUAAAUACGUUUAUAACGUGACUUCUAUUUGCAGUUCCACCCCCCGUCCUUGUGACACGACCACCUACGAAACAGCGCCGCAUAGGGAGACCAGUGGCUGUCUGGAUGUUAGUAUAAACCACGACUACACUGGGUAGGAGUAGGACUGCUCCUGUCGUCAGGAAGUUAGCGACGACAACAUCGGAGGGUUCUAACCGGGCUCCAAUGCUCCAUGCGUCCCAAUCAAAGACGAGUCCGCGUGGCCGUUCUCGACUAUCUCCUAAACAUGUUCCAGGCCGUUCUAGGUGUCUUUCCUGGUCAGUCAUCACCGUACUAAUCCCUCGAUGAAUAUAGUAAAUUUUUUAGCUGGCCACUCUUCGGGGUCGCCUAUUAUAAGAUGUCCCUACCGCAAUCGCUCCCGGUCAAAAUGGUUCAAGACAACAAACUUGAGUUACGCUAGGCUUUUCGUACACGGAGGGACCUCCGUUUAAUGGUCGGUGUACACUGAAAGUAGCACCAAGUCUUUGCGGUGGUGUGCUCUGAUAAACGCGUGUUGGUGUUACUAUUCUUGAGCUACCUGUCCUCACCCUUGUAUGAGGGUCCAUGGCAACACCUGUGCUUCUAGACAGUAGGCUGACUUAAACUGAAGAUGAACACGUCGGUACGACCGUAGUUCCCGUGGUCGGCAGGGCGAGUAAUAGUGCAGAACACCCUGCUCUUGUUGAAAUGUCGACUACCCAACGUCUGAGAGUGGUUGUUGGAGACGAUGUGGAUGCGCUCCACGUGAGCCAGCCACAGCUAACAAGGUGGACGUAUGAUACGAGUAGACCGGCGGAAGGCACGGGCCAAGAUGUACCUCGGUCUCUCGAGGCUGUCGCCGAGAUACCGUUCACCCGGGCCACCCGCACCUGGCGUCAGGCCGAGCAGCCGCAGUGCACCAUGGGCCCGGGGGCCGCCACGUCGACAAUUCGGGGAAGGUCGGGAGUUCCUGUUACACUUCUUGCAGUACAAAAUGACGACUUCGGGCACUUCCGCCUCUAAUUUUACGAGGAAUUCAGUCGUACAGCGGGGAACAGUAACAUUAAUACACUUCUUUCAUCAUUAUUAGACGGUCGCCGACAGCGUCACGCGGGAUGAUACGACCAGAUACGAACGAAUUCAUGGUAGAUACACACAUGAAACAGUACGACAUUUGCAACUUGGAGCUCAUGAAAACUCCAGACCUCGAACUUUUGGUCUCGUAAGUUCGGUGCGGAACGCGACAAGAAGAAGAAGAAGAAGAAGAAAAACAACAAAAUAAUUCUAGUGAACCGAGAUAGGACCACUGCAGCUCCUGCUUACACGCCACAUUCAAACGUUCAAUCAAAGAC